UACACGACCGUACCGCAAACCGACACUGGUGCGCGAGAUGAGUAUUCUAAGGCGCUUGAGAGAACUCAGGAGAAGGAACUCGGCAAAUUGACACCGUAACUUCGGAAGUAGGUGUGCCUUUAGUAGGUGAACCAUUUACUUGGGGAGCCCAAUGAGGCUGCAAAAAAUCGGUGGCUGCAACUGUUUAUUAAAAACACAGCACUCUGCUAAGACGAAAGUCGACGUAUAGGGUGUGACGCCUGCCCGGUGCUGGAAGAUUAAAUGAUGGGGUGCAAGCUCUUGAUUGAAGUCCCAGUAAACGGCGGCCGUAACAAUAACGGUCCUAAGGUAGCGAAAUUCCUUGUCGGGUAAGUUCCGACCUGCACGAAUGGCGUAAUGAUGGCCACACUGUCUCCUCCUGAGACUCAGCGAAGUUGAAAUGUUUGUGAUGAUGCAAUCUCCCCGCGGAAAGACGGAAAGACCCCAUGAACCUUUACUGUAGCUUUGUAUUGGACUUUGAACAGAUCUGUGUAGGAUAGGUGGGAGGCUUUGAAGUGUGGUCGCUAGAUCGCAUGGAGCCAACGUUGAAAUACCACCCUGGUGUGUUUGAGGUUCUAACCUAGGUCCAUUAUCUGGAUCGGGGACAGUGCAUGGUAGGCAGUUUGACUGGGGCGGUCUCCUCCCAAAGUGUAACGGAGGAGUUCGAAGGUACGCUAGGUACGGUCGGACAUCGUGCUAAUAGUGCAAUGGCAUAAGCGUGCUUAACUGCGAGACUGACAAGUCGAGCAGAUGCGAAAGCAGGACAUAGUGAUCCGGUGGUUCUGUAUGGAAGGGCCAUCGCUCAACGGAUAAAAGGUACUCUGGGGAUAACAGGCUGAUACCGCCCAAGAGUUCAUAUCGACGGCGGUGUUUGGCACCUCGAUGUCGGCUCAUCUCAUCCUGGGGCUGUAGCCGGUCCCAAGGGUAUGGCUGUUCGCCAUUUAAAGAGGUACGUGAGCUGGGUUUAAAACGUCGUGAGACAGUUUGGUCCCUAUCUUCCGUGGGCGCUGCAGAUUUGAGGAAGCCUGCUCCUAGUACGAGAGGACCGGAGUGGACGAACCUCUGGUGUAUCGGUUGUCACGCCAGUGGCAUUGCCGAGUAGCUAAGUUCGGAAGAGAUAACCGCUGAAAGCAUCUAAGCGGGAAACUCGUUUCAAGAUUAGAUCUGCCGGGGCCUUGAGCCCCCUAAAGAGUCGUUCAAGACAGGACGUUGAUAGGUCAGGUGUGGAAGCG
rnacentral:rRNA from 1 species